rnacentral:rRNA from 1 species
UACGUAGGUGUCGAGCGUUGUCCGGAUUUAUUGGGCGUAAAGCGCCCGCAGGCGGCUUGGCAAGUUCGAGGUGAAAUCUCCCGGCUCAACUGGGAGGGUGCCUCGGAAACUGCCAGGCUUGAGGCAGGGAGAGGGAUGUGGAAUUCCCGGUGUAGUGGUGAAAUGCGUAGAUAUCGGGAGGAACACCAGUGGCGAAGGCGGC